AGUGAUAAAGGAAACGAACAGAGCAGACGAUACCAGAAAAAUUGAAGCUCGAAUAGAAACACUGAAAUGGCCGUUGAAUAAUUCAGUUUCUCUCGAUAGAUGACUCUGAUUCUAGUUUCCACCACUUUGCUCCGCCCCAAAACUGUCGAAAUUUUAGACAUUCAGACCAACGAAACGCGGUAUAGAUUCCUCUCAGCCUGAACCAACCAGGGUUCUAUGACUCUGCUAUUGCACACCUGAAUCAGUGAACACAAUCAGGUGGAUGCUACGGGAAAAGGUCAUGCCUAUUUCCCCCCGGCAACCGGAGGGGCGCUAACGUCAUAAAGUGGUAUUUUCCGCCGGCUGCCGCGGGGCGCUAAAGUCAAAAUUGUCUCUUGACCACCGGCUCCGACCCCGAUUGACAUGGACACGGUGUAAUCCCACUGAGCUUGCACGAUGCCUAGGCGUGCAAGAUACGAUAAAACUGGCCUUAUCUUCUUGACUGUACGUUGGCAGAAGUAGAGUCAAAGGAAAACGAUAUUUAGUUCCAUCCUGGAUAAGCCAAGUUUAAAACAGAUGUCAUCACUUUGGAUAAAGCAGGGCGAACCACAAACAGUCCACAGUGCCCCGUGGCUGCCAGGGGGAAAUAGUACAUUUUGACGUUAAUGCCCUACAGCUGCCGGGGGGAAAUAGAUUUUACCUAAUUGAACAUAAACUCUUAGAACAUAAGAUAAAGCAGUCAAUCCAGGAAGUUAAUUGGAUAACAAACUAAACUUUGGUGGCCGAAGUACAAAACAAGCAUGGAACAUGACCAUGAAAGACACAUUCAAAAUGGUAGUUGUAGGUGGCUGUGCUAGAAAGUAUAUUCUACUCAUUGUUCCUAUGUUUUGUAAUUUUACAACUGAAUAGCAGAGGUGACUUAUUCAUCAAUGUAGAUGGUUACAUUUCUCUUGGUAGAGGGAUUAUUGCUAAUUGAGCUUUUAUUACAGUUUUUAUUUUUAUGCAGUGAUCUGAAACUGAGACUGGAACUUCUGAGUUCAAAGCAUUUCCCAUUGUAUUAAUCCAGCAUAUUCAGUUAAAGUUCACAAUUUAGUAAACAAAUGCAUGGUGUGUGUCAAACUAGCGAUUCUAAUGCAGAUGUUAGUCUUCCCUCUUCACCAUUGCUCUCUUUUUUACAGCUUAUACAAUUAAGAAUUGUUCGGGGUUUUCAAAGAUUCCCAGUCCAAAAAUAUCGACACUUUAUAUAUAUACAUAUAUAUAAAUGUUUUAAAUUCAUUUUUCUAAAUAUUGUGUCUUUUGUCCUCGAAUAGGCAACACCGCAGGAAAGCCCAUGUUUCCGAAGUAUAUCCGUAUCCGACGCCAUUAUGACUGUUGGAUUUCUUAUUUCUCUGAGAAUGUUGUUCAGGACUUCAGGUCAUGGAAAUUGGUAGACAAAAGAUGAAAUAUGAAAUGGUCUGAAGUUGAACAUAGUAAGCUAAGCAUGCUACGCAAACUGGAGGUGCGAAAGGCAGUGGAACGGUGCUCGGAAGGUGACGGAGGACAGGAUGACUGUGAAAUUGUACAGUACGAUGAGUAACCAGUUUACAAGAAGGUUUAGAUGACAGUAAAUUGCUGAUGAAGCUUCACGAUUCCCAACUACUCAACACAUGCUGCGAUGGAAGACCACACUUAGUGGAAGAAAGAGCGCUCCAUCAGUGAGAGGAGGUGAUUUGGACUUGGUGGAAUACCUGAUGUCUUCAACAGUCGCACCGGUAUCUGUGUUUCUGCUUUCGUUCCAGCACAUUUCUAUGUCGGUAGCAUGUUGGGCGUAACAACGGAAAAUCAAGUAUGCCGAUCUGAAGAAAACAAACAAAAGCGAGGUUGCAGAUUCCAUUUGGCAGGAGCUUGGUAUUCAGCGGUGUUUACUUAGAGUAAAAUACACGACUUUGCUAGAGAGGAAUGUGUGCGUUAGAUCGAGUAAAACAUGGCUAGGCAAGAUGUAAUUUCUGAAGAUUCUAUUUGCUUUAGUUUUGGCAGUUUCGUUUAUUUGUGUGAAAGUGUUUUGCCGUUGGCUAACUGAAGUAGGUGUAAAACACCACACUCAACGGUCGAAGAAUGAACUAGAAAGUUUUGCUGUUCAUGAAUAAAAAGAUCACUUAGUAAAAAAAUGUUUGAACUUAGAUAAAAUUUGCGAAUGAUGAUUGUGUUUCGAAGUAUGUCGUUUUUAUUUCAAAUAGUUAGAAUUGCGAAAUAUAGUACAAAUGAGAAACAUA